GUGGGGAAUAUUGGACAAUGGGGGGAACCCUGAUCCAGCCAUGCCGCGUGUGUGAAGAAGGCCUUUUGGUUGUAAAGCACUUUAAGCGAGGAGGAGGCUACCGAGAUUAAUACUCUUGGAUAGUGGACGUUACUCGCAGAAUAAGCACCGGCUAACUCUGUGCCAGCAGCCGCGGUAAUUCAGAGGGUGCAAGCGUUAAUCGGAUUUACUGGGCGUAAAGCGCGCGUAGGUGGCCAAUUAAGUCAAAUGUGAAAUCCCCGAGCUUAACUUGGGAAUUGCAUUCGAUACUGGUUGGCUAGAGUAUGGGAGAGGAUGGUAGAAUUCCAGGUGUAGCGGUGAAAUGCGUAGAGAUCUGGAGGAAUACCGAUGGCGAAGGCAGCCAUCUGGCCUAAUACUGACACUGAGGUGCGAAAGCAUGGGGAGCAAACAGGAUUAGAUACCCCAGUAGUCC
rnacentral:rRNA from 1 species